rnacentral:tRNA from 1 species
CCAUCGGUGGUUCAGUGGUAGAAUACUCGCCUGCCACGCGGGCGGCCCGGGUUCGAUUCCUGGCCGGUGCA